rnacentral:rRNA from 1 species
UACGUAGGGUGCGAGCGUUGUCCGGAAUUAUUGGGCGUAAAGGGCUCGUAGGCGGUUUGUCGCGUCGGGAGUGAAAACCCAGGGCUUAACUCUGGGCUUGCUUUCGAUACGGGCAGACUAGAGGUAGGCAGGGGAGAGCGGAACUCCUGGUGUAGCGGUGGAAUGCGCAGAUAUCAGGAAGAACACCGGUGGCGAAGGCGGCUCUCUGGGCCUUACCUGACGCUGAGGAGCGAAAGCGUGGGUAGCGAACAGG